rnacentral:rRNA from 1 species
GACGAACGCUGGCGGCGUGCUUAACACAUGCAAGUCGAACGGAAAGGCCCUGCUUUUGGGGGGUGCGCGAGUGGCGAACGGGUGAGUAACACGUGAGUAACCUGCCCUUGACUUUGGGAUAACUUCAGGAAACUGGGGCUAAUACCGGAUAGGAGCUCCUGCUGCAUGGUGGGGGUUGGAAAGUUUCGGCGGUUGGUGAUGGACUCGCGGCUUAUCAGCUUGUUGGUGGGGUAGUGGCUUACCAAGGCUUUGACGGGUAGCCGGCCUGAGAGGGUGACCGGCCACAUUGGGACUGAGAUACGGCCAAGACUCCUACGGGAGGCAGCAGUGGGGAAUAUUGAACAAUGGGCGGAAGCCUGAUGCAGCAACGCCGCGUGCGGGAUGACGGCCUUCGCGUUGUAAACCGCUUUCGCCUGUGACCAAGCGUGAGUGACGGUAAUGGGUAAAGAAGCACCGGCUAACUACGUG